GGUUUGAGGUUUCCUCGGCAGUGAACUGUCGAAGUUUUCCUCGAUAGUUAACUGCCGAGGAGCAU
rnacentral:pre_miRNA from 1 species